CUCCCAUUAAGCUCAUUUCUGUCUCAUCCAUCAAUGUUUCACAACAAUCUGGGAUUCACUCCCCAAGCCACUACUCAUCAUAUUCCCUAAGUCAAGGAUCUAUGAGCUCACUCAUUUUCCCAAGAGAGUCAAGGACAAGCCACAGGUCCUUCUGUCCUCAAUAUGAGAUAACAACACCCACUCAUUGCACUGACCAUGGGAACAGUAGUGGAGCCAGAGCAAGAGUGUAGUUCAUCGGUCUCUUAACAAUUAAAUGUGGAAAAAUCAAAGACAAACAGACUGUUUGGGAUAAUAAUAUGAGCCCUGGUUUAAUGUUUCAUCAAUUAACUCUCAAUGAAUAUACAAGUGAUCACACAGUGAGAUGUUUCGUCUACUCAUCAGGUUAAUGUGAAAUAACAUUUUAUGAAAAUAACCCCACAUCAGAGUUAACAGUUUCGUCAUCUCAGUUUCAAUCUUAUCUUUUUUUUGUCCUUUGACUUCUUUUCGAAGGGUUUUCUAUAUAUAUAUAUAUAUAUAAAAAAUGUCGUACAAUACAAUAUUAUAACAAUGAAACAACAAUAAAACCUGUACAAACCAUAAUCAACUAUUAUUUGCAAAACCUCAACGCGGUAGACACGUACAGCUCAGGAGCCUUUCUCAAAGCCUUUCACAUAUCACUUGAUUUCCGGUGAAACAAUCCACGCUGGCCUUGCGCUUUUAAUUCAAAAUGUCGGCCGAAGGCGUGCCUAGCACAUGGGGUGUAUCCUUUACAUCGGAGAUAAGCGCGUGACUGUUGUUCUGAGUAGACGAGGUUUUGUCCUCGGUGCGCACCAACUGGAUAGGCUAGAACGUGUUUGAGACCAGCCUUGUCUACACUCGCAAUAGACUCAAAAUCGUUUCUACCUUUAAUGUGCACUAGGUCCAUCAGCGCAAGCAACAACGAACAUGAAGGGUUUUGCUCUAUAGUGUCAGCGUCCCGGAUCCCCAUACUCCUGAUAGUCUUGUAGAUGUGUUUCCGUUUGUAUAUUUUCUCUCUUUCGGAUAGUCCCUCUUGCACUGUGGUCUACGGUUUAUGGGUUGAGGCAGUCGCGUACCUCUCGAAGCCUCGCAGGAUACAACGUCGAUGUGGCUGGUGUAAGGGCUUUUAUAAGACAGACUUGGAAUGAGAUAAUUUACCAUUGCUUGGAUAAGAGAACGUUGAACCACAGUAAACUCAACACUGGUUGGAUGUCCAAACACGGCUCAUCUAUCCACCCACCGCCCAUUUAUCCACCCACCGCCCAUCUAUCCACACACGGCUCAUAUAUCCAAACACGGCUCAUUUAUCCACCCACAGCUCAAUCUUUCCCGGUUGUCGGGAUAACGAGUGUUUGUUCCAAUAGCAAGCCAUUUUAACGUAAUGUAUUCGCUAGACUUGACUAUAUGAAAUUAACAUGACAGAUAUUAACACCGUAAUACUGACUAGACGUAAUUACAUUGUGACUAGUCAGAAUUUUGAUUCAAGAUAUAUGUAACGUUCUUCUGACUAGUCAAAACACCAGUUAAAGAUGUCUGUAAGUCAAUUUUGACAAGUCAAAACUGAAUUACAAAUAUCAGAAGUGACCUCACUGAAAACGACACUCGACCUUCAUACAUCCCAAAUGGAAAUUGCAGAAUUUUGUUUGGACUAGUCAAAAUUAUAGUUGCAGAUAUCUCAAAUGUCCUUAUUUCGAAUUGUUUUGCAUGACGUUUCUCAUGCGAGGCAUCAUCAUAUUGGUCCAGCAACGCUUUUCGGUGUUAGCAGCAAUGGCAGUUUCAGUUGUGGAUAGUUAAAAAAUGUAAUGAAAUAAAACGAGCUUAUCAUCUGAGAUUUAGAGGUGAACAAGAGUUUUUUUUUUUAAUCGACUUUUGAAAGAAAGUAAAUCUUCUGUAUUUCCUGCUAAAAGCGCCUGUCGUGCACUGGCUGAAGCCAUACAUAUUUUAUCUAAAACUAGAACUUCGGCCUCACGCAGGUCUGACAAGGCGGUUAAUGCUUGCCAUACGGUGGAAGAGUAGUUACAUAUGUUUGAAUACAAGCAAGCUUACUCCCGCUCCUGACUCCCACAUGUAACACAGUAAUUACAUUUUGACUUGGCAGAAUGAAAGUUAAAUAUAUCUCCAAUUUGAGAUAUCUCCAAUCAAAAUUCAUUUAUGACUAAUUAAAACAUUAUUUAAGAUAUCGCAAAAGAAUGAUCUAUAUAUCUUAAAUUUAAGGGGAUUUAAGAUAUCUUGAACUGGAAUCGUGACUAGUCAGAAUUAAAUUAUAGAUAUCUGGAACUGUAAUUACUAUAGUCAUAAUUGGAUUGAAUAUAUCAACAAUAGACAUUUCGGAUAUCUGCAACUUCAUUUAAAGAUAUCUGUAAAGAGAAACCUCAUAGACAUGAAUGGCAAUAGUCAUUCAAAACUGACUAGUCAAAACUGAAUUACAGAUAUCUUCAAUUGUCGUUAACUAGUCAUAAUGACGUUAUAGAUAUCUUGAAUUGGAGGUCUGACUAGGCGAAAUUAUGUUGCAGAUAUCUGUAAGAAAUAUCCAGUCCAGCGAAUACAUGUUAAAACGGCUUGCCAUAUGUUCCGAUCGUGGACCUGCUGCUGUCGUAUUAGACGAGGUUGUUUUUCAGAGUCCUGCGUAACCACUGGAAUAUGUUUGAGACCAGCCUUGUCCACACUCGCCAUAGACUCAAAGUCGUCUCCACCUUCAAUGUCCUCUAAAUCCAUCAGCGCAAGCAACAACGAACGCGAAAGCUUUUGCUGUAUAGUGUCAGCGUACCGGAUCACCAUACUCCUGAUAGUCUUGUAGAUGUUUUUCCGCUUUUCUCUCUUUCAGAUAGUCCCUCUUGUUUGAACAUCAAGUUAACCACUUUAUCAAACAGUCCUUGUUUGCUUUCACAGCUGAAAACAUUUGGAAUGAAAAGUCACAUACCAAAAGUGGCGGCUGCUGGUCUUUCAAAGAGGAGCUCAUUUUCGGCUUACAUUAUAACCCUCUGAUGGGCUUCACUUGUAGUGAAACUCGGGGUCUUUGGGGUCUUUUGGACCCCAGACAAUAACAUUACAUUUUGUAACAGAACAACUUUUUUUUUUUAACAAAUAUAAUUUGAAUCUGUUUAUUCAUGUUUUAACUCAAUAUUUGUGCAGUUUUUGGAGGAUUUCUGAUAUCUUUAAAAUGUCUAUAAAUACAUAAAUAUUUAUUUCAAUAGGCUUUUUACAAGAAAAUCUGCAUUUUACGUAGAAUUCACUUUAUAAAAGACCCAGAUUUCUAACUUUCAUUCCUAGGGAUACCAUGGAUAAUUUUAUAAGGUUUAAAGUAAGAUUUUAGCAAUUCUUUGGGGGAAAUUCUGUUUAAAAUUCUGUUUAACCACUAGAUGGCUAUAGAGCCAGUGUGUGUAUGUGUGUGGCCUGGUAAACCCUACAAUAUGGGGACAAUAUGUUCCCACAAGGAUGGCAAUAUCUGAAAUCCUUCUUCGUGUGGGGAAAUGUUUGAGUCCCCAUGAGGAAAACAGCUUAAAAAUCAUACUAAGUGAUGUUAUUAGAAAAUGUAAAAAUGCAGGUUUUCUGUGAUGGGUAGGGUCAGUGUAAGAGAUAGGAAUAUACAGUUUGUACAGUACAAAAAUCAUUGUGUCUAUGGAAAGUCCCCCCAAAACGUGAUAACACUACGUGUGUGUGUGUACACAUUUUCAAUGUGUCGUAGGGUUACCAAUUUAUUUUUGGCCAGCAGUACAUUUUAUUUGUCACAGCACUUCCAGUCAGCCAAAUAACUUUGUCAUACCAGGAGAGCUGAAAAGAUCAAUCUUAGGAGUUGAUCUUACCUGCUGUUUAAUUAAAAAAUGUUCCUCGUAAGGAAGACUUCCAAAUGGCCUCGCUAAAAUCAGGACAAUAUUAGCACUGUCUGCCAUCGUGCGCAGUUUCACCCGCGUACAACGCUAGCCUAGCCUACUAUUGAAUAUGAAUGACUGAUAAAAAAAAAAAACUUUGUAAAACUGAAACAAGGAUCACGUGGUGCAGCAGAUAAUUGUGUGAAAUGUAUGAUGCAAAUCAGCUAGCAAUUUCGCCAAACAAAUAUGAAUAAAUAUUGCAGACGUCUUUCGAAUACGCUUGAGAAAUCCGCGGUGGGACUGAGCGCUAAACAGCUUCAGUGACACCUUAUAGUAGACCGCUGUCAGUCAAAAGGAAUGCAGUUUGACAGAUCGUCAGAUCCUCCAAUCAUGCGGAAGCCUGGAAUCAGGGCCAGCCCACUCAUAAUUCACCCCCAGAGACGAUGAGAGUCCGUGGGCGAGUUUUAAGAAGCCCCAUUGAAGUCAAUUGACGCUCGGCAUCAACAGGGAAAUGCACUGUGACGCUGCGGGAUUGUAUGAGAAGAAAAUCGAGUCAGCCUACCUGUAGCUUAUUCUGAACUAACUAGUUUUAGAGAUGAACAUGUUUUAACGCAUUUUUAGUCAAUAAAAUUUUUACACAAUACUACAUAUUUAACGAUUUUUUUGUUGGCAUUAUAGGGGAAGCCGAGCUUCCCUUGCAUUCUUAAAGAAAUCCCCACUGCUCUUUUGUAUGUGGCAGGGUUUGUCACCCACCCCUCCUUGGAUUCUCUGUUGUAUGCGGCGCAAGGCCAAAUAAGAGGACACAUACCACGAAGGGUUUUAUGUCACAAUGAAAUUUGGUGUUGUAUCCUCCAUGUUGUUGUAUAUUGAUGAAUAAAGCCACUCUCUGUUGUAUGUGUCAUAGUCUGUCACCAACAUCCCCUAAGACUCUGUGUUGUAUGAGGGAGGGUCUGUCACCCAUCCCUCCUUGGACUCUGUUGUAUGUGUCAUAGUCUGUCACCCACCCCACCUUGGACUCUCUGUUUUAUGUGGCAGAGUCUGUUACCCAAGUCUACUUAUACACCCUGUUGUAUGUGAAAUAGUCUGUCAACCACCUCUACUUGGCUGUGGUGAAUCAGGAACCAGCAGUGUCCAAUAAUCUUACUCUGAACCCAAGGCAGUCUCUCCUUGCACUCUCUGAUGUAUGUCACAGUCUGUCACUCACCUCUCCUUGGACUCUCUGAAGUAUAUGGGAGGGUCUGUCACCCAUCCCUCCUAGUGAUUCAGGACUCCUAAAAUGUGAGAAAGAUGGAAUCUCGCACAACACAAAGUUAGAAUCCAAACUACAGCAGAGAGUAUUGUAUUAGCUAACUCCAUUGAACCCCAAUCUUGUUUCAGUUGUUUCUUAAUCAAACAUAUAUGUCUUCCUCUCUCCCUUGUUUACUUUUUUUAACUUUGCCUUGCUCUGCAGACCUCUCAUUAAGCUCAUUUCUGUCUCUUCCAUCAAUGUUUCACAACAACCUGGGAUUCGCUCCCCAAGCCACUACUCAUCAUUACUCAGCAUAUUCUCUAAGUCAAGGAUUCUUUGAUCUGUCAGAAAGAUUUCAGUGUUGUAUCCUCCAAGUUGUUGUAUAUUGAUGAAUAAAGCCACUUGGAUACCGCGCGGCGGCGUUACGCGGAGCAGGGUCUCGCGCCGCGGCAGUACGCGGAGCAGGGGCUGGCUGUGGAGCAACAAGAAGGGCGGUGGCAGGGACUAGGGCAGAGGGUUUAAUGUCACAAUGAAUUUCCAUGUUGUAUCCUCCAUGUUGUUGUAUAUUGAUGAAUAAAGCCACUCUCUUUUAUAUGUGGCAGGGUCUGUCACCCACCUCCCCUAAAACACUCUGUUGUAUGUGGCAGGGUCUGUCACCCAUCCCUCCUUGGACUCUCUGUUGUAUGUGGGAGGGUCUGUCACCCAUCUCCCCUAAGACACUCUGUUGUAUGUGGCAGGGUCUGUCACCCACCUCCCCUAAGACACUCUGUUGUAUGUGGGAGGGUCUGUCACCCAUCCCUCCUUGGACUGUUGUAUGUGAGUCUGUCACCCAUCCCUCCUUGGACUCUGUUGUAUGUAAGAGGGUCUGUCACCCAUCCCUCCUUGGACUCUCUGUUGUAUGUGGCAGGGUCUGUCACCCAUCUCCCCUAAGACACUCUGUUGUAUGUGGCAGGGUCUGUCACCCACCUCCCCUAAGACACUCUGUUGUAUGUGGGAGGGUCUGUCACCCAUCCCUCCUUGGACUCUGAUGUAUGUGAGUCCGUCACCCAUACCUCCUUGGACACUCUGUUGUAUGUGGCAGGGUCUGUCACCCACCUCCCCUAAAACACUCUGUUGUAUGUGGGAGGGUCUGUCACCCAUCCCUCCUUGGACUCUCUGUUGUAUGUGGGAGGGUCUGUCACCCAUCCCUCCUUGGACUCUGUUGUAUGUGGGAGGGUCUGUCACCCAUCCCUCCUUGGACUCUGUUGUAUGUGGGAGGGUCUGUCACCCAUCCCUCCUUGGACUCUCUGUUGUAUGUAGGAGGGUCUGUCACCCACCUCCCCUAAGACACUCUGUUGCAUGUGGCAGGGUCUGUCACCCACCUCCCCUAAGACACUCUGUUGUAUGUGGCAGGGUCUGUCACCCACCUCCCCUAAGACACUCUGUUGUAUGUGGGAGGGUCUGUCACCCAUCCCUCCUUGGACUCUCUGUUGUAUGUGGGAGGGUCCGUCACCCAUCCCUCCUUGGACUCUCUGUUAUAUGUAAGAGGGUCUGUCACCCAUCCCUCCUUGGACUCUCUGUUGUAUGUGGGAGGGUCUGUCACCCAUCCCUCCUUGGACUCUCUGUUGUAUGUGGGAGGGUCUGUCACCCAUCCCUCCUUGGACUCUGUUGUAUGAGGGUCUGUCACCCAUCCCUCCUUGGACUCUCUGUUGUAUGUGGGAGGGUCUGUCACCCAUCCCUCCUUGGACUCUGUUGUAUGUGGGAGGGUCUGUCACCCAUCCCUCCUUGGACUCUCUGUUGUAUGUAGGAGGGUCUGUCACCCACCACUCCUUGGACUCUCUGUUUUAUGUGGCAGAGUCUGUUACCCAAGUCUACUUAUACACCCUGUUGUAUGUGAAAUAGUCUGUCAACCACCUCUACUUGGCUGUGGUGAAUCAGGAACCAGCAGUGUCCAAUAAUCUUACUCUGAACCCAAGGCAGUCUCUCCUUGCACUCUCUGAUGUAUGUCACAGUCUGUCACUCACCUUUCCUUGGACUCUCUGAAGUAUAUGGGAGGGUCUGUCACCCAUCCCUCCUAGUGAUUCAGGACUCCUAAAUUGUGAGAAACAAAGAUGGAAUCUCGCACAACACGAAGUUAGAAUCCAAACUACAGCAGAGAGUAUUGUAUUAGCUAACUCCAUUGAACCCAAAUCUUGUUUCAGUUGUUUCUUCAUCAAACAUAUGUCUUCCACUCUCCCUUUUUUACUAGUUUUAACUUUGCCUUGCUCUGCAGACCUCUCAUUAAGCUCAUUUCUGUCUCACAACAACAAUGUUUCACAACAACCUGGGAUUCGCUCCCCAAGCCACUACUCAUCAUUACUCAGCAUAUUCUCUAAGUCAAGGGAUUUGUUUGUUCUGCCACAAAGAUUUCAGUGUUGUAUCCUCCAUGUUGUUGGAUAUUGAUGAAUAAAGCCACUUGGUUACCAGUGGAACUGUAAAGUCUUGCGUUAUAAAUCUUCCAGGCUGUUAACAAUAAACGCAUUGUACUCUAGGCCGUGGAUCAGGGUCUUGCUGGGCGGCGGUACGCGGAGCAGGGUCUUGCUGGGCGGCGCUACGCGGAGCAGGGUCUUGCGCGGCGGCGGUACGCGGAGCAGGGUCUUGCGCGGCGGCGGUACGCGGAGCAGGGUCUUGCGGGGCGGCGGAACGCGGAGCAGGGUCUUGCGCGGCG
ensembl:lncRNA